AAUCAACGCUGGCGGCGUGCCUCAGACAUGCAAGUCGAACGAUUAAGACUCUACUUCGGAGAGUUGCAUAAAGUGGCGCACGGGUGAGUAACACGUAAGUAAUCUACCUUGGGUGGGAAUACGAGUCGGAACGACUGCUAAUACCGCAUAAUGCGAGCGGCUCCUUAUGGAGACAGUUGUUUAAAGAUUUAUCGCCUAAAGAGGAGCUUGCGGCAGAUUAGCAGUU
rnacentral:rRNA from 1 species